CCAACAAGGGAGGUUGUAGGAUCCCGAGAAGAGGUCCAGCAUGUGAACGAUGACACCAACAGACACAGGUUCAAAUAAACAACGAAUUACAGAGCGGUAUAAAGAACUGAAUCAAACAAGACUAUAAAACAUAAACCCCUCUGCUGAUGGAGAAAAAUUACAAAACGCCAGCCUCCGUUAACGAGGUCCGCCUCUGUUAACGAGAUCAGCCUCCGUUAACGAGGUCAGCCUCCCUUAACGAGGUCAGCCUCCCUUAACGAGGACAGCCUCCGUUAACGAGGUCAGCCUCUGUUAACAAGGUCAGCCUCUGUUAACAAGGUCAGCCUCUGUUAACAAGGUCAGCCUCCGUUAACGAGGUCAGCCUCCCUUAACGAGGUCAGCCUCCCUUAACGAGAACUGUUGGGCCUUUCUGCGGACACAGGAAACCAGGUCCUCCUCUUCUUCAGUCCAGGAAGUGAAGGCCGGGAGGGCGCGCUCACCUCAAACCAACCCUCCUUUAGGUCGGUGGUCUUCUCCCACACGACCUGCGUCCGGUCUGUUGUUCUUGUUGUGUUGCUCUGUUGUGUUGUUGUGUUUUGUUCUGUUGUUGUGGUGUAUUGUUGUGGUGUGUUGUUGUGGUUGUCAUGUUGUGUUGUGUGCAGCCUCACGUCUCCAGGAGUUCUGAGGUGAAAUGUCACCAUCUAAGCCACUACUCCUUGAGGUCCUAAUCUCUCUGAGUGCUGCUCUCUCUCUGAGUGCUGCUCUCUCUCUCUCUGAGUGCUGCUCUCUCUCUCUCUCUCUCUCUGAGUGCUGCUCUCUCUCUCUCUCUCUGAGUGCUGCUCUCUCUCUCUGAUUGCUGCUGUGCUCUCGUUCUACCGGAGCCUGAAUCGACUCCUUCUAGUGAUCUGAAUCAAAGUCUAGCUGUAUAUGGACCAGGCCACACCCCCUCCAACCAAACCACACCCCCUCCAACCAAACCACACCCCCUCCAACCAAACCACACCCCCUCCAACCAAACCACACCCCUUUUUCUUCUCCCGAUCGCACCGAGGAGGUGGGGUCAGGCACGGAGGAGCCAGCAGAUCCAUAAACACACACACACACACACACACACACACACACACACACACACACACACACACACACACACACACACACACACACACACACACACACACACACACACACACACACACACACACACACACAGACGCUCAUCAAGAGAGGGCAGCUGGAUAAACUAAGCGCUGGCUGAACCCUCGGGAUCAGUUCCAACA